GACCGCCUUAAGGCUGCUCUCUUGGUUCCCUGUCCGGCAUGGCGCCUCAUCCACCCUGUGCCGAACCCGACCCGCCCGGCUGUCCCCCCGGGCGGGUC
rnacentral:sRNA from 1 species